GGGCGCUUAGCUCAGUUGGUUAGAGCGAUUGGUUUACAUCCAAUAGGUCAGAGGUUCGAGCCCUCUAGCGCCCACCA
rnacentral:tRNA from 1 species